rnacentral:rRNA from 1 species
UACGUAGGUGGCAAGCGAUACUCGGAAUCACUAGGCGUAAAGCGCAGGUAGGCGGUUCGGAAAGUCUUUUGUGAAAGCUCCCGGCUUAACUGGGAGAGGUCAAGGGAAACUGCCGGACUAGAGUGUGGUAGGGGAUACUGGAAUUCCUGGUGUAGCGGUGAAAUGCGUAGAUAUCAGGAGGAAUACCUAUGGCGAAAGCAGGUAUCUGGGCCAUCACUGACGCUGAGCUGCGAAAGCUAGGGGAGCAAACAGG